rnacentral:rRNA from 1 species
CCUACGGGAGGCAGCAGUAGGGAAUCUUCCACAAUGGGCGAAAGCCUGAUGGAGCAACGCCGCGUGAGUGAUGAAGGCCUUCGGGUCGUAAAACUCUGUCAUUCGGGACGAACCGGAGUCUGAGGAAAUGCAGACUCUCUGACGGUACCGGAGGAGGAAGCCCCGGCUAACUACGUGCCAGCAGCCGCGGUAAUACGUAGGGGGCAAGCGUUGUCCGGAUUCACUGGGCGUAAAGCGCGCGCAGGCGGUGAUGUAAGUCUGAGGUGAAAACCCGAAGCUCAACUUCGGGACUGCCUUGGAUACUGCGUCACUUGAGGAUAGGAGAGGCAAGGGGAAUUCCACGUGUAGCGGUGAAAUGCGUAGAGAUGUGGAGGAACACCUGUGGCGAAGGCGCCUUGCUGGCCUAUUUCUGACGCUGAGGCGCGAAAGCGUGGGGAGCAAACAGGAUUAGGAUACCCUGGUAGUCCACGCUGUAAACGAUGAGUGCUAGGUGUAGGUGGGCUCAUACCCAUCUGUGCCGAAGCUAACGCAUUAAGCACUCCGCCUGGGGAGUCGGUGCAAAGCUGAAACUUAANGAAUUGACGG